rnacentral:ncRNA from 10 species
UUAUAACAUCAAGACAAGGGCCGACGCCCUGACCAACCUGCCCCCCGGGCAAGGUGGACGCGAAAGCGGAUGUGGCCUAAAGUUUAGGCAACCAAGCGGGAGUA